CAUGCCCAGACUCCCACGCUCGAUCCCCUCCUCCAGCGCCCUGCAUCCGAGGACUCGCUCGCGAGUCCCUUGCUCGAUCCGGAGCGAGGCAACCACCGGAGCCGCGCCGCCUCCCCGCCAUGGCGCCCGCACCCUCCAGCCGCGCCGCGCCCCCAAGCUCCUCGCCAUCACUGCUCUAGCCAGUCCGCCGUUCGCAACCAGCAGCUCCCUCCUCUGGCCUCCGCUGCCAGUCCAACCCCGUCAGCGGCGUCGGCCGCUCGGCCUGCUCGUCGUCGUUGCUCCACCAUGACGACCUCCCUCGACCCAUCCCGGACCUCCUCGCUCGACUCCUCGCUGGAUCCGGCAGGUACUCGUCGCGCCCCUGCCUUGCUGCGUUCUGCGCCGGAGUUCCCCUGCUCAAGCCGCCGAACCCCCGACCCCAUCUCCACGCGCCCGCGAUCACCACGACCUCUAGCCGCUCUCGCUGUCAUUAUUGCCAUCCCCACGCGCAUCUUGCUGGCGCACUGCUCUUCUGGUUCCCGGUGACCUCCACGUCCCGCUAGACCACCCCUUGCUUCGGUCCUCUGCCCGAGCACAUGCCCGCUCGACCAACUCUCUGAUGCCUUGCUUCACGAGGCCUUCGUGCGCCAACGCUUUCUGGUGAUGCCAAGACCGCAGCUGAAAGACCCAUACCUGGAUCGCCAAGCUCCGUCUCCGAUGAUUUCGCCAAGUUCCAUCAAGCCAAACGUGUACGUCUACCAUCGCCGUGGGUUUUUCGUCCAAGUUCGACUACAGCACAAGGAUAUGUACAACUAUGCGGAUUCGCCGGAGUACCCCUUUGAAUACGCCAAGUUCGACUACCGCACAGUUACGCCAAGUUCAUCUACGGAAUGUGUACGUCUUCAAACGGUGUACCACUACCAUUGCUGUUGAUUUGACAAGACUGCGAGUACCACUACUUCCCUCAACGAACUCGUUCCGUCCUAAAAACGCACGCUUCAAAGAUGAGUUCAACAUUGGAGUGGCAGGACAAGAGGAUGUGGAACCCCUUCAAGAUGCUAAGGACAAAAAUUGGCAAAAGCUCGAGUUAAUUGCACAGAAGUACCACAAUUGGGGCAUUACAUGCAGAUUGAUACCAUUUUUCGUAAUUUUUACAUGUCAGUAUCAAGUUUGGGGCUAGCUGUUACAAAAAGGUUUAAAUCACGUAUAAAUAUUUAUUGACAGUGUA